AUCUUUUUAGCUUAUCUAGAGCGCUUUACUGAAAAUAAAGAAGACUAAACAUU
rnacentral:tRNA from 1 species